rnacentral:rRNA from 1 species
CCUACGGGCGGCAGCAGUGGGGAAUAUUGCACAAUGGGGGAAACCCUGAUGCAGCGACGCCGCGUGAGUGAAGAAGUAAUUCGUUAUGUAAAGCUCUAUCAGCAGGGAAGAAAAUGACGGUACCUGAGUAAGAAGCCCCGGCUAACUACGUGCCAGCAGCCGCGGUAAUACGUAGGGGGCAAGCGUUAUCCGGAUUUACUGGGUGUAAAGGGAGCGUAGACGGCAGUGCAAGUCUGGAGUGAAAGGCGGGGGCUCAACCCCCGGACUGCUCUGGAAACGGUACGGCUGGAGUGCCGGAGAGGUAGGCGGAAUUCCUAGUGUAGCGGUGAAAUGCGUAGAUAUUAGGAGGAACACCAGUGGCGAAGGCGGCCUACUGGACGGUGACUGACGCUGAGGCUCGAAAGCGUGGGGAGCAAACAGGAUUAGAUACCCGGGUAGUC